UCCACGUGUCUAUUGUAUGUCUCAUAAAACUUGUGUUACCCUUACAGACAGGUGCAAACAGUAAAUCCUCUUUUGCAACCCAGAACUCAUUGUUGAGUAUGAGUUUUUGGUACAUGUAAGAAGGAAUAUA